rnacentral:misc_RNA from 1 species
AAUGAAGAACGCAGCGAAAUGCGAUAAUUAAUGUGAAUUGCAGAAUUCAGUGAAUCAUCGAGUCUUUGAACGCACAUUGCGCCCCCUGGUAUUCCGGGGGGCAUGCCUGUCCGAGCGUCAUUGCUGCCCUCAAGCCCGACUUGUGUGUUGGGCCUCGUCCCCCCUCCGCGGGGGACGGGCCCGAAAGGCAGCGGCGGCACCGUGUCCGGUCCUCGAGCGUAUGGGGCUUUGUCACCCGCUCUGUAGGCCCGGCCGGCGCCUUAGCCGACGACACAAUCUUUUUUUUCAGGUUGACCUCGGAUCAGGUAGGGAUACCCGCUGAACUUAAGCAUAUCAAUAAGCGGAGGA